GGCAAGUCCGAUUGAGAAAAAAAUCCACGGGUAAACCUCCGACCCGGUCCGGGAAAAGAAACCUAACGCGGUCCAAAUGUGCAGCUCUGGCAUCCCCCAAAUCCCAGGUAGGCUCAGCUGUGAUCAUCAUCACCGCAUGCACUUGCAGACCUUUCUCCAAUUUUGAUUGAUUGCACAGCACAGGGCAUCAUAUAUUUGUAGUUGAUAAGUUUUGAUAAUAUAUAAUAUGGAGUUUACAAUCAUUUUGUAGAUUCAGAUGAGAAGAAAAUUUGUAAUUUGUAAUGGGUGAUGCUCUUGUUGGUAGCCAGUUGGGAUUUGAGGAGGAGAGCUCCUGUAAUUGGAACCAAAUACAACAGAUUCCACUGAGCUGUGGCCUAGAUGUAGAUGUAGAUGUCAUGUCACCCUUUAUUUGCUAUUUGUUAUUCCAUUCAUGUGAGAUUGAUACCAAAAAAAAACAUCAUUUCUCCUGUAAGAUGGGUCGUUAUUUUUGAAGUCAUAUGUAGUCACUGAAAGUUGUGUAAUUGUUCAUUGUUGGUUGGCAUAAUGGCAUUGCAGAUUCCUGAUUAAGUCUCCAUAAUGAUCGUGGGCACUUGUGAUGUCUCUUUAUCCUGAAAGUCGUAUGAUGUUGUCAGCCUUGCAGCAGUAGAACCAAAAGUCAUGGUUUUUUUAUCAGAUUCAAGCAAUUGGUAUUAUGCAUGCAUUCAUAACCCAGAUUUCACAUGUUUAAGGCUUGAAGCAUAGGAUAGGAGUAAUAUUGUUUCAUUUUUGGGGUAGCAAAGCAAUGUACUUUAUGUGACAUUUGACAGUUGGUAAGAAUAUGGUUAUCUGGAGCCUAGUGAAGUCCCGAAAGAUAAUAUUAAGAAUGUACGAAAGGUCAACUGCAGCAUCUUUGACUAAUUCUGGUCAACAUUUUUCAACACCUGCAAAGGUAUACUGGUGAAUCGGAUCAUCAUCAUCCUCCUCAAGAGAAGAAACCAAAAAAAGAGAAAGAAACGUGUCACCUUUUGUUUAUUUCUUUUAACACUUUUGUUACCCCAAAUUUUUUGAAUAUUAAAUUCAUAUAUUUAGUCAGUAUAAGAUAUA